rnacentral:rRNA from 1 species
UACAGGGGGGGCAAGCGUUGUUCGGAAUUACUGGGCGUAAAGGGCGUGUAGGCGGUCAGGUAAGUGAGAUGUGAAAUGCCCCGGCUCACCCGGGGACCGGCAUCUCAUACUGCUUGGCUUGAGUACGGGAGAGGAUGUGGGAAUUCCUGGUGUAGCGGUGAAAUGCGUAGAUAUCAGGAGGAACACCGGUGGCGAAGGCGCACAUCUGGCCCGAUACUGACGCUGAGGCGCGAAAGCUAGGGGAGCAAACGGG